rnacentral:rRNA from 1 species
UACGUAGGGGGCAAGCGUUGUCCGGAUUUAUUGGGCGUAAAGAGCGUGUAGGCGGCCAUACAGGUCAGCUGUGAAAACUCGAGGCUCAACCUCGAGACGUCGGUUGAAACCGUAUGGCUAGAGUCCGGAAGAGGCGAGUGGAAUUCCUGGUGUAGCGGUGAAAUGCGUAGAUAUCAGGAGGAACACCUGUGGUGUAGACAGCUUUCUGGACCGUAGCUGACGCUGAGACACGAAAGCGUGGGUAGCAAACAGG